rnacentral:rRNA from 1 species
AUUGAACGCUGGCGGCAGGCCUAACACAUGCAAGUCGAGCGAGCGGCGGGCGGGUGAGUAAUGUAUGGGGAUCUGCCUGGUGGAGGGGGUUAACUACUGGAAACGGUAGCUAAUACCGCAUACCAUCAGAUGAACCCAUAUGGGAUUAGCUUGUAGGUGAGGUAACGGCAAACCUAGGCGACGAUCCCUAGCUGGUCUGAGAGGAGGAUCAGCAACACUGGAACUGAGAAACGGCCCAGACCCCUACGGGAGGCAGCAGUGGGGAAUAUUGCACAAUGGGCGCAAGCCGGAUGCAGCCAUGCCGCGUGUAUGAAGAAGGUCUUCGGGUUGUAAAGUACUUUCAGUCGGGAGGCGGUACCGACAGAAGAAGCACCGGCUAACUCCGUGCCAGCAGCCGCGGUAAUAC